GGACCAAGGAGUCUAGCGUGUGCGCGAGUCAUUGGGAAUAACUAAACCUAAAGGCGAAAUGAAAGUGAACGUCCGCUUUAUGCGGACCGAGGGAAGACUGUCGAUCUCCACGAUCGACAAGCAUUCCCGGGGCGUCUCGUUCUCAUUGCGAGAUGAGGCGCACCAAGAGCGUACACGCUGGGACCCGAAAGAUGGUGAACUAUGCCUGGUCAGGACGAAGUCAGGGGAAACCCUGAUGGAGGUCCGUAGCGAUUCUGACGUGCAAAUCGAUCGUCGGAACUGGGUAUA
rnacentral:rRNA from 2 species